UCGAUGUUGACACCAUCCAAUAAAAGGCUUGGUUUGAAACACCGUCUUCCUCUUAGCUCGCAUAGUGCGGUGCUGUGCGUAUUGUCCUCCCAACAUAAAUGUAAAUGGCGUGGACAACUUUUUUUUUGCCAAAGGAACGUUAUGGAAGGUAUCCCCCCACCUGCACCUCUGCAUGAAGGCCUGCAUCGAAGGGAAGACACAAUGGAAUGACUGGUAAGUUGUGUACUGUGGUAGGUGGAACUGUAGAAGUUAAUUAUCAUAGUACAAACUAUAGCCUUACAGCCAAUAAGUUUGUUCACUGUUGCUAAAAAAUGUUAAUCAAAAUAGUGCAGCACUUCCUGCAGCCAUGAGAUGUGUUUAGUGUCUAAACUAGCAAUCCAAAUAAGAGCUUGCAAUACAUAUUGUGCCAUACAAGCAUAUAUAAAUGUCUAGGGCAGUGAUUCUCAAGCUGGUACGCGGGCUCCAUCUAUUGGUAUGCCACAGAACCAAUUGAUGAAAGUAUCCAUUAUUGCUCAAACUGUAAUGGUAAAGUGGCCAAAAUAUUGCAUACAGUAUACUUGAUUACUUAUUUUUGAAGAAUAUUUAGGCCUAGUGGGCUAAUGUAUUUCAACGAUGGUCGUUAUGGUGGCAUUUAGCGAGCCAAGUGUUUUCUGAGGUAGUACUUGGUGAAUGUUUGAGAACCACUGGUCUAGGUAAGGUAAGGAUUUUUUUAAGGCACCUGAAACCUAUUUUGCACGUUUGGUCAGUCCAGUGAAUAGCUUGUAUGCCAAAUGUUGUUUUUUUGUCCCCAAUUUUUUCAAAUGUAUAAUGGAAAAAAAUACAAAAUGUUGACUGACAAAUAUUUAGGUUAUUGUUGUGCAUUUCCAAGAAUAAAAGAAUAUCCUUGUACAA